rnacentral:rRNA from 1 species
GACGAACGCUGGCGGCGUGCUUAAUACAUGCAAGUCAACGACUUUUAAGAUAGCAAUAUUUUAAGGGAGUGGCGCACGGUGAGUAACACGUAGGCAAUCUACCUUUAGGACUGACACAACUCGUCGAAAGACGGGCUAAUAUCAGAUAAUGCAGCGGCUCCGCAUGGAGACAGUUGUUAAAGUACAAGCGCCUGAAGAUGAGCCUGCGGUCCAUUAGCUAGUUGGUAGAGUAACGGCCUACCAAGGCAACGAUGGAUAGCUGGUCUGAGAGGAUGAUCAGCCACACUGGAACUGAGACACGGUCCAGAUUCCUACGGGAGGCAGCAGUAAGGAAUAUUGCUCAAUGGCCGAAGGCUGAGCAGCAACG